AUGGAUGCAGCAGCAAACUCAGGCUCUGGCCUCCCGCUGUUCGAUGGCCCGACUUGGCAGUCAAGCCCCCACCUGGCUUGCAUCUGGAUGUAGUGAAAGGAGACAGGCUAAUGGAGAAACUGAUUAUCGAUGAGAAGAAGUAUUACUUAUUUGGGAGAAACCCUGAUUUGUUUGACUUCACCAUCGAUCACCAGUCUUGCUCUGGAGUUCACGCGGCACCUGCAGAGAGUUUUCUUGGUAGAUCUCAACAGCACUCGAGGGACUUUCUUGGGUCACAUUUGGGUGAAAUCUCACUAGCCUCAAGAGAUUCCCAUCGGUUCCACGGUCUCAUUUGGUGCAUCCACAAGGCAUACACUCUGCGAGAGAAGCCUCAGACAUGGCCAUCAGCUGUUAAGGGAGACGAGAAGAUGGGUGGAUUGGAUGAUGAACUCAAGGGCUUGCAGGGACUUCCAGAAGAGGAGACCGAGAUUGAUAAUCUGACAGAGUUCAACACUGCCCAGAGCAAACGGAUUUCAAUUCUCACUAUUGAGGAGGGAAAUCCGGACAUUCAGAGACCAAAGAGGAGGAGGAAGAACUCACAGGUGACUUUUAGUGAGGACGAUGAAAUUAUCAACUCAGAGGAUGUGGAUUCCUCUGUCGGGGGGCUUCCAGAACAUGGUGCAGACUGCAGUGGUUCUAGUCAAGAAGAAACGGAUGGAGGGCUCUGGCUUUCUGGGCCUGGAGGAGACAGGAAGCAGGCGCAUACAGAACUUUGCCUUCAGUGGAGGAUUAUACAGGGCUCCCAACAGCUUGGCAUCCAUGGGACAGCACUCAGCGGGGACUUGCCCAUGCCAUACCCGAACCUUGCCCCUGAUGUGGACUUGACUCCUGUUGUGCCAUCGGCAGUGACCAUAACCUCCACACCAAACCUUGCAGUCUAUAACCCUGAAGCUGUCAAUGAACCCAAGAAGAAGAAACCCACAGCUUCCUUAUUGAUUUGA